rnacentral:rRNA from 1 species
CAGCCGCCGCGGUAAUACGUAGGUGGCGAGCGUUGUCCGGAAUUACUGGGUGUAAAGGGCGUGUAGGCGGGGAUGUAAGUCAGAUGUGAAAGCCCAAGGCUUAACUUUGGGAUUGCAUCUGAAACUAUGUUUCUUGAGUACUGUAGAGGAAAGUGGAAUUCCCAGUGUAGCGGUGAAAUGCGUAGAGAUUGGGAGGAACACCAGUGGCGAAGGCGACUUUCUGGACAGUAACUGACGCUGAGGCGCGAAAGCGUGGGGAGCAAACAGGAUUAGAUACCCUGGUAGUCCACGCUGUAAACGAUGGAUACUAGGUGUAGGAGGUAUCGACCCCUUCUGUGCCGGAGUUAACGCAUUAAGUAUCCCACCUGGGGAGUACGGCCGCAAGGCUGAAACUCAAAGGAAUUGACGGGGGCCCGCACAAGCAGUGGAGUAUGUGGUUUAAUUCGAAGCAACGCGAAGAACCUUACCAGGGCUUGACAUCCCUCGAAUAGAUUAGAAAUAAUCUAGUCCUUCGGGACGAGGAGACAGGAGGUGCAUGGCC